CAGAGACUGGAGACUGGCAAGGGGGUCUGGAGGACUUGUUAGAUUUUAACUCUCCGAGCCUGGGGGAGUUUGAAGGGGUGGGCGGUAAAGCCCACUACAACCUCUGCAUUAAGUGGAGCGAUUGGAGAGGCAGUCUGCAGAGCUGAGACUGGCCCCACAGCAGCCAUGGAGAACACAUUCAACACACGGAGAUAACCACACAGCACCGGAACAGGACCUGAGCCCUAGGACCAUGCCUCAGGACUACCUGGCCCGAUGACACCUUGCUGUCCCCAGUCCAUGCUGCUGCUCCAGUUUCAACUGUUCUGCCUGCGGCUAUGGAACCCUGACCUGCUCACCAGACGUGCUACCUUGUCCCAGACCUGCUGUUUUCAACUCUCUAGAGACAGCAGGAGCGGUAGAGAUACAAAUGAUCGGCUAUGAAUAGCCAACUGACAUUUACGACUGAAGUGAUGACCUGUUCCACCCUCUACAACCACUGUGAUUAUUAUUAUUUGACCCUCCUGGUCAUCUAUGAACAUUUGAACGUCUUGGCCAUGUUCUGUUAUAAUCUCCACCCGGCACAGCCAUAAGAGGACUGGCCACCCCUCAUAGCCUGGUUCCUCUCUAGGUUUCUUCCUAGGUUCCGGCCUUUCUAGGGAGUUUUUCCUAGCCACUGUGCUUCUACACCUGCAUUGCUUGCUGUUUGGUGUUUUCGGCUGGGUUUCUGUACAACACUUUGUGACAUCAGCUGACGUAAGAACGGCUUCAUAAAUACAUUUGAUUGAUUGAAAUAAAUUUGAUUGUCUAGCUGUGGGCUGAUCAAACCUGAUGAGGUAUUGUGAUGAAUCAGGGUGUAAUGGUGUCUGAAACGGCCUCGUUACCUGAUGGACAACCAUUUUAUUAUUAAAUGAUUUUAGAAUUACCUCUAUAAGAGGACCAUUUCACUGCCAGAGCUAUUGGUGUGUGUGGCCUCUUCUAUCUUCAUCUCACAGCUCACUAGGCAGCAAUCCUG
rnacentral:lncRNA from 1 species